GACGAACGCUGGCGGCGUGCUUAACACAUGCAAGUCGAACGAAGUGGCGAACGGGUGAGUAACGCGUAAUCAACCUGCCCUUCAGAGGGGGACAACAGUUGGAAACGACUGCUCAUACCGCAUACUGAAUGAGGGGAUUGCGUCUGCUUGGCUAGUUGGAGGGGUAACGGCCCACCAAGGCGAAGAGCAGUAGCCGGGCUGAGAGGAGGAACGGGCACAAUGGGACUUGGACACGGCCCAGACUCCUACGGGAGGCAGCAGCGGGGAAUCUUCCGCAAUGGACGAAAGUCUGACGGAGCAACGCCGCGUGAGUGAUGACGGCCUUCGGGUUGUAAAGCUCUGUUAAUCGGGACGCGGUACCGGAAUAGAAAGCCACUGCUAACUACGUGCCAGCAGCCGCGGUAAUUC
rnacentral:rRNA from 1 species